rnacentral:lncRNA from 1 species
UUUAACAUUUGAAAUGUUGAAGACAUAAUUGCUCUAUAUCUUAAGUUAUUGACGAAUAUUUGAAAUUUAAACCUCUAUAAGAUGCGAUGUACGGCAUUUCAUUUUAUCAUUGGUAAUGAUCCAUAUCUGACAGAGAAGAAAUAUUCAUAAUUAUCAGAAAGUUUUCAUAAAUAUUGUUAAUACCACUAAUCGUUCCAACAAUCAAGACAACAGAGACAAACAGGGGAAAAAAUAUGAAAAUGAAAAGAUAUGACUGAAGUGUUAGCAUGUUCAGGAAGACGGCACUCAAUUUACAAAAAAAAUAAUUGAUGUUUUAAGGAACUGUAGAGGUCUCCACAGGUUUUCAACAAGGGUAGAAUUCAUAACCUUGAAUAUGAAAGCCUCGAAAUCCAUGAUACUUUUUCUGUGCGGUAGUUAUAUCUACAAAAUCCAAUCAUGUACACGACAUAUAAUAUUCAUACAUUAUAUAAAAAAAGAAGAUGUGGUAUUAUUGCCAAUGAGACAACUAUCCACAAAAGACCAAAAUGACACAGACAUUAACAACUAUAGGUCACCGUACGGCCUUCAACAAUGAGCAAAGCCUAUACCGCAGAGUCAGCUAUAAAAGGCCCCGAUAAGACAAUGUAAAACAAUUCAAACGAGAAAACUAACGGCCUUAUUUAUGUAAAAAAAAGAACGAAAACAAAUAUGUAACACAUAAACAAACGACAACCACUGAAUUACAGGCUCCUGACUUGGGACAGGCACAUACAUAAAUAAUGUGGUGGGGUUAAACAUGUUAGCGGGAUCCCAACCCUCCCCCUAACCUGGGACAGUGGUAUAACAGUACAACAUAAGAACG